UUAUUUAGACAUAAUAUAUAUGCUGAAAUUGGAAUGAUAAAGUAAAUAAUUAGCAUAGCACAUGUGAAAGGAUGACAUGUAAAUUUAUGAAAGCUUUCAUACUUUA
ensembl:snRNA U6 U6 spliceosomal RNA